UAUAAAUGUCUAAACUAGUUCUAUGGAGGGAACUUGAAAGUAUUAGAAACAGUGGAAGACAGGAGCUUCAGUUCAAAGAAGUGUUUUAGACUACUUCUUUAGUAGCCUUCAGCACACUGAAACAUGCUGUUUUCUUAGUCUUAGUGUCCUCUCCUGACAGCUCUGAAUGGUUUUUUCUGGCCAGAAGGCCCUGGGUUAUCCAAACCUCCUGCCCAGCAUCACCCUGCAGAAACCACAACCACUGGCCUAGCUGGGUGCUCUUCUCUGUUCCUUGGUCUUUGCCCUUCUUCGUGGAGUCUCUGCUGUGUCUGAGUGUGUCACAGAGCUGACAGUGACUUCACAGCUCCCUUGGUGACAGCAGCAGAUGCCUGAGUUGCAUCUCCAGAGGAUGGUGCAAGGACAUGACUUGGCUCUGGUCCCAGCAUGCUGAAUGCCAUGAAACUGGCACAGCAUGACUGGCUGUACCUUGGCCCUGGCCUCCUCCUGUUCCUGAUGGCCUGGGCUGCCCUGCACUGUUGGUUCAGCUUUUCCAAAAAAUGCCACCAGCAAAUCUCUGUCAGGAGCCAACACAGGUUAAGGUGCAUGAAGACCCAGGAAACAGUUGGUGAGGUGCACACAGACGUAUGUGAGCUUGGUCUGCUCUUCAUGGACGGCAGGCCACUGGGCCGGUUCCUGUGUUAUAACCCUGACUGUGAGCGCUGCAGCCAGGCCAUCAGGGAGAGGCAGUUGAGGCACCAUGCCAGGGGGGCCAGAAUGAGGGCCUCCCGCCAUCUGCACUCCUCUUCAUCUUCAAACUCCAGCACAUCCUGCCAGGAACUGAGCACAGCCAGCUCAUCCCAUUCCCCAACCAGGAAGAAGUUGGCCACCCAAAUUAACCUGCCCUCUGUUGAACUUUCAUGCCAGCCAGAGCUGAAGUACAGAAAAGAGAGGACACUCCUUCUCCAGCGCACAAUGAAGCACCAAAAAUUGCUGGCAAUCCAGGGGCUAGCUGACACAGCCACCUACAAUCCUGGCCUUCUCAGCCAGGCCCACCAGCUUACUGAAACAGAUUCUGUGCAGCCAAUGAGAGAUGUUUGCCACAAUGCCAGAUCACUCCCUACCACAGUUUCCACUUCUGAUAAGGAUGGCAGUCUGCCGACUGGAGUAGAUCCUCAUCCUGUGUCAAGGCUAGAGCAAGGACUCCACUUCUGGAAGCCCCUGAAGAUGCAUAUGCUGAGGAAGUCCAUAGAGACCAAGCUGAGAGUCUUCCCUACCAUUGUGCAGCAAUCCCACAAAACGUACACGCACAGGAUGGCAGCCUGCACAGCUUUCACACCGCUCCACUCCAGUUCUGCCCCCAUCUACUUCCAUUCACUGGAGGCUCUGUUCCUGCAGGAAGAGGUUCAAGAGGCCCUGGAGCUCCACAUCCGUGAAAAGAAACUGCAUCACCGGUGGGGCUUGCCUGGGAGGUUGCUGGCAACACCUCAGGCACAGCCAGCAUCCCCAUGACUGCAGUAUGCGGUGCUCCAAAUCCCGUACCACUCUUGGCACUGGGGCAUAGGCACCAGGUAAGGUGUCAGAGAGAAACCAACUCCUGCUGCCUGCACUAUGAGGGACAUAAUCUGCAAGUGAAGAUAGAGGCCUCCUUGUUGAAAAACUCCCACUGAUUUUUCUAAUUCCUAUUAAAAAUAUUAAACCCAUUCCUCU
rnacentral:lncRNA from 1 species